rnacentral:rRNA from 1 species
AUGGAAGGUGCGUGCCUGUGCUUACUCAAAUCCGCUUGCCAGUGCCUGGCAAGGGAGGCGACAUCAAGUGCCGCCAAAGAGAUGGCCUUGCAGGCUGGCGUUCAAGAGGACGCCAUGAUCCUGGCGGAAGAGCUCGGGGAGAUGCACAAGUUCCUUGCAGAUGUGGACAAGUAUGAGGAGGCUCGUGGAGAGAUGGAUCCGAGCGGUGAUGCUGAGGAGGCACCGGCACGGCGGUGGGUGGACAAAAUCCGGGACAUGGCAUGCGACAUCCAAGACUGCCUCCUGCAGCUCGCCCCUCACCGGGAGAGGCCGUCCUUGUGGAGGUUCCGGUGGACCUCUCUGGCUCCACGGCACUCUAUCGCCGCCGAGCUCAAGGACUUGGUGUCCCAAGUUAAUCGCGUGAGUGAGAGGAGGGAGCGCUAUCAAGUCGCCCGCUUCAUGGCGGCAUUGAGGAAGCCACCGGUCAGUCUGGUAGAGGAGGCGCGGCUGGCAACGGAUAUUGACCACAAGUUUGAUCUUGGCCAGCUGCUUGCGUGGCCCGAUGAAUCACUAUUGGUAAUCUCUGUAUGGACAAUGGCAGGCAUCGGAAAUGGAGACACCACUUCUCUCAUCGGCCUAGUCUAUGACGAUGCCAAGAUGUUCCAGUGCCGUGCAUGGGUCACGGCUACCCACCCCAUCAGCCUCACCGAGUUCCUGCGGGGCUUGGCGAGGCAGCUCCUGGCAAAUGAAAACAAUUGCAUGCCGCCGGUGUCGCAGAGCACACUCGGUUUCCUCGGGGAUACUGAGAGGAUGGGGACCGAGGAGCUGAUGAUGGUGGUAGCAAACCACCUUGACGAGAAGCGGUACCUGGUCAUCAUUGAAGAUGUAUGCGCGAGGCCCACGUGGGACUGGAUCAAAAUCCUCUUCCCGGAUCAUAUGAAUGGCAGCCGGAUCAUAGUAUCAUCUCAGAGAGCUGAUGUGGCGAGGCAUUGCGCUGGGCGGCUGAGCAGAUCCUUCACCCUUGAAGGAGUUUCAGAUAAUGACGCACAGCUUUACGUCUCUUCCAACCAGGCUGCCACCACUAAUGAAGCAAAUGUUGUUAUAAAAAUAGAGCCAUACUCAGAGUUGGUUGGCAGGAAGGCGGAAGUUGCUGAUUUAACUAGAAGGAUAUUAGAGGAUGGUCCUGACUGCUACCCAAUCUCCGUGUACGGGGCUAGUGGUAUCGGAAAGAGUGUCCUUGUCAAGAAAGUUAUUUACGAUAGCCUAGAGAUGUCUACGAGGUUUGAAAUGCUAGCAUGGAUCACCAUGAUGCGUCCUUUCAGUCAGGAGGAGUUCUUACGAAGCAUAAUUUCACAAUUCCUUGCAUGCUCCCCAGGAGGGAGGCAAGACUCUGUAAGUCGCACCAGUAACAUGUCUGGUGACAAAUUGGUGACUAAGAUUCUUCAGCUCAUGGAAGGAGGGAGAUCUCUAGUAGUCCUCGAUGGGCUGUCAGCAGACGAAGAAUGGGAUCAGGUGAAGUCGUGCUUAUGGGAUGAUGGUAAUGCUAAACAUAGCUGCACUAUAGUCGUUACCACGACAAAUGCUGCAGUUGCUCAUUAUUGUUCAGGGAAUAAAGACACUCUAUGCAAGUUGGAUCCUCUUGACAGCGCCGCAGUCCGUCAAUUGUUCUAUCACAAGGUAUUUAAGCGUGAUGGGCUAAUUGAGUUGCAUAAACCAAUGGUUGAUCUUGCUGAUCACAUCAUAAAAAAAUGUGAUGGGGACCUUUGUGCAAUCACUAUCAUAAGUGGACUUCUAGGCACCAAAACUCGGACAUCAGAAGCAUGGAACAGCGUGCUAGAACGUUAUGACUCAGAGUUAAGAAAUAAACCUGACCGGGUUGCUACAGCAGCAGCAAAAUUGAGCUAUGUUGAUUUACCAUCCCAUAUGAAAUAUUUGCUACAAUAUAUUAGCAUUUUUCUGAGAGGCUACAGCAUAACGCGCAGAAGAUUGGCAAGUGCGUGGAUGGCAGAAAUCUACAGCAAGAAUAUAAGAGAAGAUAAUGCUGAGGAACUUGAGAAGAUCUUUGAUGGCCUGGUUAUGAGGGGUAUUCUUCAUCCAUUGAAACGAGCAGAAACAACUGGCGGAAGAGUAAAUGUCUGCCAGGUUGAUGAUUUGUUUCAACAACUCGGUGGCUCGGAAGUGAAAUCGGGUGUGUCUAUCCACAUCCUUGAUGAGCACACUGUGAAUAGAAACUCUACAAUCUCCCAACCCAGACACCUAGUGGUUAAAAGCGGGUGGAUAAGACAUGAUGAUGAGUUCAAGAAAAUAGACCACUCUUGUGCCCGGUCACUAACAGUUUUUGGGGAGUGGAGUUCCUUUUUUAUUUCACCAAGCAUGAAGUUGCUAAGGGUGCUUGAUUUGGAAGAUACUGCAGGUCUGGUGGAGCAUCAUGACCUUGAGCAAAUUGGGGAUUUUCGGCACCUUAAGUAUCUGAGUCUCAGGAACACCGGCAUUUCCCAUCUACCUAACUCUUUGGGGAAGUUGCAAGGCCUUGAGGUAUUAGAUAUCCGGGGCACUUACAUCGCCAAGCUGCCAUCUACAAUCAUUCAUCUCACUGGGCUGUGCCAUCUCCGUGGUGGUACAAUGGCGACAUCAAUGGAAGGCAAUUCUCAGCUUGAUUUUAGCUGUGAAGUGACCAGUUGUUGUCCCCAGCCUCUCCAGUGUGCUGCUUCAUCUGCUUUCCGCAUGUGUUUGCUACAUCCGUUUCAGAGGGACAAACCACAUGGUGUGCGUGUCCCGAAGAUGAUUGGGAAACUGAAGUUUAUUACUACACUGGGGACCAUUGAUGUUACAGGCAACAGUCGAAGUGCUAUGAAGGAGCUACAGAAGCUAACACAGUUACAGAGGUUAGGUUUGAUUGGGGUUACUAAACACAACAGCAAGCAUCUCUGCUCCACUCUUGAGCGACUCCAGGAUCUGCGGUCAUUGAUGGUUCACUCUGGAGAUUCACUCGGAAGAUUAGAUACUGUUUCCCCACCUCCACACCAUCUUGAAACAUUGAAACUAUAUGGCAGUCUUGGCACGCUCCCAAGGUGGAUCAAGACCCUUCAUAAUCUCCAAAAGCUAUGCCUUCGCACAACACUCCUGGACAGUGAUGCUGUACAGAUCAUCUCGAAGCUACCCAAGUUGAUCAUGCUACGCCUCUUGGCUAAAUCAAUUAUGGUGGAGGAAAUGGAAUUUCAAAGUGAUGCAUUUCUAAAGCUUGAGCUGCUCCAACUUGACCGGUUAGAAAAUCUCAUGUCGGUAUCAUUUCCAGGAGGAGCACUGCCAAACCUGGAGAUACUGCUUGUCAAUAACUGCAACCUUUUAAGCGGGCAUGUCCUGCGUCAGUUUCACAAGCUCCCCAAAAUUAAAAAGGUGUUGCUGGAUGGCUCUACCGAUCUGGAUCGAAAUGAACGAGCUGCUGCGUUUAAGAAACAUGAGGAGGCGAAGGCAGAGGUAAUACAGAAAAUCAGAGCUCAAGCACAUAUAAUUCGAGCUGCAUUCGCGUUCAAGGAGGCAGCAGCAGCAGCACGCAAUUGA